CCUACGGGGGGCUGCAGUGGGGAAUAUUGGACAAUGGGCGCAAGCCUGAUCCAGCAAUACCGCGUGUGUGAAGAAGGCCUUAGGGUUGUAAAGCACUUUCAAUGGGGAGGAAAACCUACCGGUCAAUACCCGGUAGCUUGACAUUACCUGUAGAAGAAGCACCGGCUAACUCCGUGCCAGCAGCCGCGGUACUACGGAGGGUGCAAGCGUGAAGCGGAAUUACUGGACGUGGAGCGUGCAGAGGCAGGUCAAAGCCCCGGGCUUAACCUGGGAACUGCAUUUGAAACUGGCGGACUAGAGUUGAGUAGAGGGGAGUGGAAUGUCAGGUGUAGCGGUGAAAUGCGUAGAUAUCUGAAGGAACACCAGUGGCGAAGGCGACUCCCUGGACUCAAACUGACGCUGAGGUACGAAAGCGUGGGUAGCAAACAGGAUUAGAUACCCCGGUAGUC
rnacentral:rRNA from 1 species